rnacentral:rRNA from 1 species
UACGUAGGGUGCGAGCGUUAAUCGGAAUUACUGGGCGUAAAGCGUGCGCAGGCGGUUAUUUAAGUCAGGUGUGAAAGCCCUAGGCUUAACCUAGGAAUGGCGCUUGAGACUGGAUAGCUUGGAGUGUGGCAGAGGGAGGUGGAAUUCCACGUGUAGCAGUGAAAUGCGUAGAGAUGUGGAGGAACACCGAUGGCGAAGGCAGCCUCCUGGGCCAGCACUGACGCUCAUGCACGAAAGCGUGGGGAGCAAACAGG